rnacentral:rRNA from 1 species
GACGAACGCUGGCGGCGCGCUUAACACAUGCAAGUCGAGCGAAGCGGCGGACGGGUGAGUAACACGUGAGUAACCUGCCUUAGACCUUGGGAUAGCCUCGGGAAACCGGGAUUUAUAACAACAGGUAUAAGAUGGACUCGCGUCCCAUUAGCUAGUUGGUGAGGUAACGGCCCACCAAGGCGACGAUGGGUCGCCGGCCUGAGAGGGUGAACGGACACAUUGGAACUGAGAAACGGUCCAACCUCUACGGUAGGCAGCAGUGGGGAAUAUUGCACAAUGGAGGGAACUCUGAUGCAGCGACGCCGCGUGAACGAAGAAGGCUUUCGAGUCGUAAAGUUCUUUUAUAUGGGAAGCGGUACCAUAAGAAAAAGCCCCGGCUAACUACGUGCCAGCAGCCGCGGUAAUAC